AUAUUAUCAACCUCUUAAGUUUUUUUACUUGUUGAGUGUUGGAUGUGGGGGUUUCUUUCUCUGCUGGUCUUUUUACGAGGUCAGCUCCCCUAAAAUACAUUAGCGGAACAAUUUGACCGUUUAUUGGUGUGAUAACUAAUCUACGCUAUUGACGGACAGUUCAGCUUCUAAUAGUCCAUUGACUUGGACAAUUUUCAUUAAU
rnacentral:misc_RNA from 1 species